ensembl:ncRNA F11D5.15 ncRNA
AGGAUUGGAGACGGAAAAAGGAAAAUGUCACUGUAACCUUAACCUCAACCUUUUAACUUCUUGGCCAAAUACCCGAAGAGAAUAAAAAAACCAAACGAAUAGUGUCCUAGCGGCAGUUAAUGAAGGCUAAUAUAUCUUG